AUUGAACGCUGGCGGCAUGCCUUACACAUGCAAGUCGAACGGCAGCGGACCUUCGGGUGCCGGCGAGUGGCGAACGGGUGAGUAAUAUAUCGGAACGUACCUUUCAGUGGGGGAUAACGUAGCGAAAGUUACGCUAAUACCGCAUAUUCUGUGAGCAGGAAAGCAGGGGAUCGCAAGACCUUGCGCUGAUUGAGCGGCCGAUAUCAGAUUAGCUAGUUGGUGAGGUAAAGGCUCACCAAGGCGACGAUCUGUAGCGGGUCUGAGAGGAUGAUCCGCCACACUGGAACUGAGACACGGUCCAGACUCCUACGGGAGGCAGCAGUGGGGAAUUUUGGACAAUGGGGGCAACCCUGAUCCAGCCAUGCCGCGUGAGUGAAGAAGGCC
rnacentral:rRNA from 1 species